AAAUGAACAGAGGAGCAGGCACAUUGUGGCAGAGCUCCAGAGAGCUGUGGUGGAAAUGAAGGACCAGCCCUCUGCCACCUGGAAGACAAAUGACGGCAGACACAGGAACACUAGAAUGCCCAUCACCAGGAAGAAGAGAAGGGUCAGAAACUUGAUCUUCUUCUGAAAAAUAAACCAACACAAAUUGCGGUCCACUUGGACACAUGAGGAAAUCCUACACAACGUAUGACAUUUACAAGUAGAAAUUGGGCGAAAGGAAACUGGACAACCGUGGUACCCACGCUGGAGAGAGCG